rnacentral:sRNA from 1 species
UAGAGGUGGCAGAGACAGGAAUGGAGCCAAGGCGGCGGAGACGGGAGGGAAGCAAGCCA